GACAGAGGUGCCGAGCGUUAGGCGGAAUCACUGGGCUUAAAGCGUGUGUAGGCGGAUUUGUAAGUACCUUGUGAAAUCCCACGGCUCAACCGUGGAACUGCUUGGUAUACUGCUUAUCUUGGGUCAUCUAGGGGCGAGCGGAACAAACGGUGGAGCGGUGAAAUGCGUAGAUAUCGUUUGGAACGCCAAUGGUGAAAACAGCUCGCUGGGGAUGUACCGACGCUGAGACACGAAAGCCAGGGGAGCGAACGGG
rnacentral:rRNA from 1 species